rnacentral:tRNA from 1 species
GGACGCUUAGCUCAGUUGGUUCAGAGCACUGCGUUUACACCGCAGGGGUCGUAGGUUCGAAUCCUACAGCGUCCA